AUUUCUCUUUCUUUCAUGUUCUGUUCUCCUUUCUCCUGCUGCUGUUGAGGUGUUACAGGUCAUGCAAGGAUGCAACCUUUUGCAGAAAAUGCAGAGCUCAUCAAUGUUUAUCCACCACCGCUGGAGCGCAUUAAAGGUGUGAGACAAGCUCUAAUGGGGAAGCAGAGAACAGUGAAGAUGUGAGAUGUGUGCCAGACAAACUGGCAUCAAGUCCUCAUUUAAGCUUCCUCGAGUAACAGAGAGAAACUCUAUGAUUUAGUUGACUCGACAUGAUAGAUGAAUUCUUUCCUCUAUCUUGGAAAGGUAGUACAAGACAUUCCAGAUACAUAGGCUACUCACCACAAUACUUUGGAGUUUUGUUAGCAACAUGAUGCUAAUAUUCCAUGACAACUAACCUGGUCCAUGUUCACAUAAACAAAUACUGUUUCUGGACUUGUACAGACCUAUGCUGUGUGUCUGCAAAUACCAGGCUGUGUAGACAAGAAGAUGCACAAACAGUGUGGCCCAUUGCAUUUAUAAUGCAUAGCUGCUUUGUUCAUAGACUCUUAAUGCCAGUGAAGUAAGAUCAUCUGGAAACAGAGACUCUUUUCGUGAAUGUAGGGAACAUGACCUACAAGUUAGGGCAAAGGAACACUGCUGUUUGUGUGUAGAAACAAGAGACACCAGAGACACUGAUCCAGUGCAGUGUGGUCAAAUGCACUCAAACAAAUACUUUAUUGGCUGUGUGUGUACCUGUAAGGUAAACCUAGUAAAAGUAGAGGUGGCAAGUGCUGAGUACUAAAAGGUUAGUUGUAACAUUGGAAUGGAAUUAAAUGUCUGCUUUUAGAUCCUCCAUAGAUCAUAUUUUUGUCUGUGGGAAAAAGAUUGAGAUGUCAACUUCUACAGGGAGAUUUUGGCAGAGGGAUUUGAGGCAAGGGGUUAUAAUAAUGGAAUGAAAUUAGAUAGAUUCCUACAAUUUACAGAAAGAUUCUUCCUAUAACUCAAAUACUGCACCAAAUGACAUUGUUGAUGCCCUUAAAUAA